AGCAAGGCGGCAUCUCUCUGAU
rnacentral:miRNA from 1 species